UACGUAGGGUGCAGGCGUUAAUCGGAAUUACUGGGCGUAAAGCGUGCGCAGGCGGUUUGCUAAGACAGGUGUGAAAUCCCCGGGCUUAACCUGGGAACUGCGCUUGUAACUGGCAAGCUGGAGUGUGGCAGAGGGGGGUGGAAUUCCACGUGUAGCAGUGAAAUGCGUAGAGAUGUGGAGGAACACCGAUGGCGAAGGCAGCCCCCUGGGCUAACACUGGCGCUCAUGCACGAAAGCGUGGGGAGCAAACAGG
rnacentral:rRNA from 1 species